rnacentral:lncRNA from 1 species
CUGGGGUAUGGCAAGUUGAGUUCAUUAUGCUGAGUCUUUGGGGGUCCCUGCAGCAAUGUUAGAGGUAUGAUGCAUCCUUCUUCUAAUGACAAAAUUAGCUUCUACAGGAUGCAUGGUAUUCUUUUAUGCUUGGUUCUCCCCACAGCAUUUCCCUUUGCUAGGUUCUAAUGAUCUUCUAAUGUUGGAGAUGAAAGAGACCAUGAGGAUCAGCUAGUCUAACCCACCCUUUUCUAAUAAAUAAGGAGCCCGAGGACCAAAGAGACACAAUGGCUUGCCCAAGUUGACACAACUAAUACUGGACUUAUGGAGAAUUCCAAUCAAAUCAUUGGAAGUUUUCGGGAGUAUUCCUUCCCAAUAAGCAGGAAGCCUCAUGAUGGAAUUGAGGAGCUAUGAAACUUUCAUACUGAUUCAAAGGUCUAUUCAAGUUGUAGGAUGAAUUGAUGGUUUCCAUUGGACCAAGACUUGCUGAUUGUCCUGGGAAGGUCUACAGGAACAUUGAAUACAUGUUGCCACAUGUAAUUUCAAGGAGUACACAAUCAGAUUAUUCUUCAUUUAUUCCAUAUGAACUGAAACAACCUCCAGGAAUUGAUGAAGAGCAAAAGGAGCAGAACCAGGAGAACACUGUACACAGAGAUUGAUACACUGUGGCACAAUCGAAUGUAUGGGCUUCUCUACUAGCAGCAGUGCAGUGAUCCAGGACAAUUCUGAGGGACUUAUGAGAAAGAACACUAUCCACAUUCAGAGGAAGAACUGUGGGAAUAGAAACACAGAGAAAAACAACUGCUUGAUCACAUGGUUUGAUGGGGAUAUGAUUGGGGAUGUAGACUCUAAAUGAUCAUUCUAUUGCAAAUAUUAAUAAUAUGGAAAUAGGUCUUGAUCGAUGAUAUAUAUAAAAUGCAGUUGAAUUGCUUGUUGGCUAUGGAAGGGGGAGAGAAAGAAUAUGAAUCAUGUAUCCAUGGGAAAAUAUUCUAAAUGAAUUAAUUAAAUAAAUAAACUUUAAAAAAAUUCUUUAUUAUUUAU